CCGUUGCCGGCGACCGGCGCACGGGUGAGUAACACGUAUGCAACCUGCCCGUGGCAGGGGGAUAAGCGGGGGAAACCCCGUCUAAUACCGCGUAACGCGGCCUAGGGACAUCCCCAAAGGGCCGCCAAAGGGAGCAAUCCCGGCCACGGAUGGGCAUGCGGCGCAUUAGCUAGUCGGCGGGGUAACGGCCCACCGAGGCGACGAUGCGGUAGGGGUUCUGAGAGGAACGGCCCCCACACUGGUACUGAGACACGGACCAGACUCCUACGGGAGGCAGCAG
rnacentral:rRNA from 1 species